GAAAUGCGAUAAGUAAUGUGAAUUGCAGAAUUCAGUGAAUCAUCGAAUCUUUGAACGCACAUUGCGCUCCUUGGUAUUCCGAGGAGCAUGCCUGUUUGAGUGUCAUGAAACCCUCAAACCCAAGUUUUUGAUUUCGAUCCAUGUUAUAGUAUGGAUUUGGAUGUUUGACGUUGAUGAACCGACUCAUCUUAAAAGUAUUAGCUUGGAUCUGUCUAUAUGACUUGUUUGACUUGGCAUAAUAAGUAUUUUGCUGAGGACAUCUUCGGAUGGCUAGGACCUAGACUACUGUCUGCUAACUAAACCAUCACUUUAAGUGCAUCUUUGGAUGUUACUCAUUGUGUAACUUUGACAUCUGGCCUCAAAUCAAGUAGGACUACCCGCUGAACUUAA
rnacentral:misc_RNA from 1 species